UUACCCGCUGAACUUAAGCAUAUCAAUAAGCGGAGGAAAAGAAACCAACAGGGAUUGCCCCAGUAACUGCGAGUGAAGCGGCAAAAGCUCAAAUUUGAAAUCUGGCGCCUUUGGCGUCCGAGUUGUAAUUUGGAGAGACAUCUUCGGGGAUGGCAUACUGUCCUAAGUUCCUUGGAACAGGACGUCACAGAGGGUGAGAAUCCCGUGCCUGGAUGGUUGUCCAUCCCCAUUGUGAAGGGUCUUCGACGAGUCGAGUUGUUUGGGAAUGCAGCUCAAAAUGGGUGGUAAACGUCAUCUAAAGCUAAAUAUUGGCGAGAGACCGAUAGCGCACAAGUAGAGUGAUCGAAAGAUGAAAAGCACUUUGAAAAGAGAGUAAAAUAGUACGUGAAAUUGUUGAAAGGGAAGCGCUUGAGACCAGACACGGUCCGUGGUAAUCGCCCGCGCUUCGGUGCAGGUGCUCUUACCAUGACCGGUGCCAGCAUCGGUUCUGGCGGUGGGAUAAAAGGCAGGGGAAUGUAGCUUCCUCACUGGGAGUGUUAGAGCCCCUGUCACAAUGCCACCAGCCGGGACCGAGGACUGCGCUUCAGCUAGGAUGUUGGCGUAAUGGUCUUAAGCGACCCGUCUUGAAACACGGACCAAGGAGUCUAACAUCUAUGCGAGUGUUCGGGUGGAAAACCCUUGCGCGUAAUGAAAGUGAACGGAGGUGGGAACCCCGAAAGGGAGUGCACCAUCGACCGAUCCUGAUGUCUUCGGAAGGAUUUGAGUAAGAGCAUAGCUGUUGGGACCCGAAAGAUGGUGAACUAUGCCUGAAUAGGGUGAAGCCAGAGGAAACUCUGGUGGAGGCUCGCAGCGGUUCUGACGUGCAAAUCGAUCGUCAAAUUUGGGUAUAGGGGCGAAAGACUAAUCGA
rnacentral:rRNA from 1 species